rnacentral:rRNA from 1 species
GAUGAACGCUGGCGGCGUGCCUAAUACAUGCAAGUCGAGCGAACAGACGAGGAGCUUGCUCCUCUGACGUUAGCGGCGGACGGGUGAGUAACACGUGUAUAACCUACCUAUAAGACUGGGAUAACUUCGGGAAACCGGAGCUAAUACCGGAUAAUAUAUUGCACCGCAUGGUUCGAUAGUGAAAGACGGUGUUGCUGUCUCUUAUAGAUGGAUCCGCGCCGCAUGAGCUAGUUGUUACGGUAACGGCUUACCAAGGCAACGAGGCGUAGCCGAACUGAGAGGGGGAUAGGCCACACUGGAACUGAGACACGGUCCAGAGUCCUACGGGAGGGAGCAGUAGGGAAUCUUCCGCAAUAGGCGAAAGCAUGACGGAGCAACGCCGAGUGAGUGAUGAAGGUCUUCGGAUCGUAAAACUCUGUUAUUAGGGAAGAACAAAUGUGUAAGUAACUAUGCCCGUCUUGACGGUACCUAAUCAGGAAGCCACGGCUAACUACGUG